rnacentral:lncRNA from 1 species
AUAAUUUACUAUAGGACCUACUUACUAUAUAAAUUAAUAAUUAUCUAAUUUAAAAUUAAAUCCAUGAUUUGCAUGUUGCUUUUGUAAGAUAUGUUCUAAUAUUGUUUUCUACUGCUAUAAAUUGAUUUAGAAUUGAGUCUCAUCUCUAACUCAUUUUUAAUGCAAAAUUAUAAUUUACAUCGUUAUUUCAAGACAAUUGCAAGACGAGCUCCAUAUGUCGUCUUUAAUUUAGAAAAUAAUUCUCUACAAUAAUCUAAUUACUAGUAAUAUAUGCCAACUAAUUGUUAUUCAAAUAAAACAUAACAAAUACCAAAUCAAGGUUAAAAAAUUAUAAACAUGAUCAUAUUUUCUAAAUUAAAUUAAGGAAUUUUCAUUAAUUAAUAUUUUAUUAAUUUAUUAAUAUAUUGAUCUUCGCUAAAUUAAUACAUUUUUCAUGGCCCCAAUGCUAUUAGUUUAUCAAGAUCCUACUGUAUGUUGAGAGUGAACCUUUAAUAUCAUAUACUCAACUGGAUUAUGAUUUUAAUCCAUAUAACAAAUAUGAUACUAUGAUUGUAUGUUAUUGAGCGUGGUUUGCAGGCAACUUGAGACCUCGAUUUUGUGUUAUUAAUACGUGCUAACUAUCAUGAACAAAUGAUAUUCAGGUAGCAUAGUUUUAAUUUGCAAGCCAAGCCAGACCAAAUAUCAGUUAAAAGGUUAAUAAAAUUUGGAGUGGUGAACGAAAAUUUGAACUGUACUAAAUGGUUGUAAAACUACUUGGAAAUUAUUACGCCAUAUGGCUCAACUCCAAAUCUAAAAAGUAGCGAUACAUGUCUCAUAUAAUAUCAAAAAAAAAAAAAAAACUUGAAAGAACAGUUGCAAGGAGAAUUCAUUAAACAACCUGAACUUCUUCUGAAGCAGAGUAAUACAUUCUCAAAUAGCAUAUAUAUAGUAUUCAUGAAGAUGAAAAUUGUGUGAAAAUUUUUCACUGACGAAUGUUCCAAUGUAGCAUUUCAGCGCUUUGCACUAAUUCAAGAUUCAACAUGUUCCCUAUUCCAUGGUGUUAGUUUAUAUAUCAAUAUCAUUGCCGAGCCAGCUCACAAAGACCACAUUCGCACAAUCAAUGAAAAAUGAUCAAGUGGAAUAGCCUGAACGCACUGUCGGCCUCCCAGCCACACCCACACCCCAGUAGAGAACCGAUAUGUAAUAAAUGCAUACAUACAUAUACAUACACACACUGUUAAGCUGAGUGGGUUAAUACAUACUAUAAGGCCGUGCAGUUUAAUGGGAAAUUUACAAAAUUAGCCAUAAAACUUUUACGUUUUUCAACUUUAACCCCCCAAAGUUUUUUCUAUCAUAACUAGCCAAACACCUUAUGUUUGGACUACAUUACCCUCAUCACUUUCAUCAAAUUUACAAAGCCAUGCCACUUUUUCAAAUUUACAAAGCCAUGGCACCUGUUCCAUUGCUUGUCGCGCAUAAACCCACGGAUUUUAUGGAGUACAUGAUUUUGGAUUUGAUUUGUCUCGUCGUAAGCUUCGAAACGGUAUAUUAUACGCCUAAAACGAACAUAUAUAGCUCAAGUUAUGGCUUUCGAAACAUAUAUGAAAUUUAGUGAGACAGGCAAGUGGGACANN